GACGAACGCUGGCGGCGUGCUUAACACAUGCAAGUCGAACGGUGAAAGCGGAGCUUGCUCCGCCGGAUCAGUGGCGAACGGGUGAGUAACACGUGGGCAACCUGCCCCUCACUUCGGGAUAACUCCGGGAAACCGGGGCUAAUACCGGAUAUGACCUCCUUGGGCAUCCUUGGAGGUGGAAAGUUUUUCGGUGAGGGAUGGGCCCGCGGCCUAUCAGCUUGUUGGUGAGGUAGUGGCUCACCAAGGCGACGACGGGUAGCCGGCCUGAGAGGGCGACCGGCCACACUGGGAGUGAGACACGGCCCAGACUCCUACGGGAGGCAGCAGUGGGGAAUAUUGCGCAAUGGGCGAAAGCCUGACGCAGCAACGCCGCGUGCGGGAUGACGGCCUUCGGGUUGUAAACCGCUUUCAGCAGGGAAGAAGCCGCAAGGUGACGGUACCUGCAGAAGAAGCACCGGCUAACUACGUGCCAGCCGCCGCGGUAA
rnacentral:rRNA from 1 species